rnacentral:rRNA from 1 species
AGUGGGGAAUAUUGGACAAUGGGCGGAAGCCUGAUCCAGCAAUACCGCGUGUGUGAAGAAGGCCUGAGGGUUGUAAAGCACUUUCAAUUGGGAGGAAAACCUGCCGGCCAAUACCCGGCAGCUUGACAUUACCUUUAGAAGAAGCACCGGCUAACUCCGUGCCAGCAGCCGCGGUAAUACGGAGGGUGCAAGCGUUAAUCGGAAUUACUGGGCGUAAAGCGUGCGUAGGUGGCCUGUUAAGUCAGAUGUGAAAGCCCCGGGCUUAACCUGGGAACUGCAUUUGAAACUGGCAGGCUAGAGUUGGGUAGAGGUAAGUGGAAUUUCAGGUGUAGCGGUGAAAUGCGUAGAUAUCUGAAGGAACACCAGUGGCGAAGGCGACUUACUGGACCCAAACUGACGCUGAGGUACGAAAGCGUGGGUAGCAAACAGGAUUAGAUACCCUGGUAGUCCACGCUGUAAACGAUGUCAACUAGCCGUUGGCCCUAUUUACAGGGUUAGUGGCGCAGCUAACGCAUUAAGUUGACCGCCUGGGGAGUACGGCCGCAAG